rnacentral:pre_miRNA from 1 species
GGCCCGAAUAGCGUUUUUGGAGCUCCGGAUAUUCGGCACUGACCUUUCCAUAGUAAUUAGUAAGUGCUAUUUGUUGGGGUAGUUUGAAGUGA